rnacentral:rRNA from 1 species
AGUUCGGAUUGCAGGCUGCAACCCGCCUGUAUGAAGUUGGAAUCGCUAGUAAUCGCGGAUCAGCAUGCCGCGGUGAAUACGUUCCCGGGCCUUGUACACACCGCCCGUCACACCAUGAGAGUCGGGAACACCCGAAGUCCGUAGUCUAACCGCGAAGGGGGACGCGGCCGAAGGUGGGUUCGAUAAUUGGGGUGAAGUCGUAACAAGGUACC